rnacentral:rRNA from 1 species
GACGAACGCUGGCGGCGUGCUUAACACAUGCCAGUCGUACGGUAAGGCCCUUUCGGGGGUCCACGAGUGGCGAACGGGGGAGUAACACGUGAGUAACCUGCCCACAACUUUGGGAUAACGCUAGGAAACUGGUGCCAAUACUGGAUCUGUGCUCCUUCUGCAUGGGGGGGGUUGGAAAGCUCCGGGGGGUGUUGAUGGACUCGCGGGGUAGCGGCUUGUUGGUGGGGUAGUGGGCUACCGAGGCGGCGUAGGGUAGCCGGCCUGCGGGGGUGACCGGCCAUACAGGGACCGAGAUGCGGCCCAGGCUGCGACGGGUGGGAGAAGUGGGGAAGAUUGCACGAUGGGCGCAGGCUGGAUGCAGAAACGCCGCGGGCGGGAUGACGGUCUUCGGGUUGAAAACCGAUUUCAGCAGGGACGAAGCUUUUUGUGACGGUACCUGCAGAAGAAGCACCGGCUAACUACGUG